rnacentral:rRNA from 1 species
UACGGGGGGGGCAAGCGUUGUUCGGAAUUAGUGGGAGUAAAGGGGUCGUAGGUGGCAAAUUAAGUAAAACGUGAAAUCCCUCGGCUUAACCGGGGAACUGCGUGUGAUACUGGAUGGCUUGAGUUUGGGAGAGGGAUGCGGAAUUCCAGGUGUAGCGGUGAAAUGCGUAGAUAUCUGGAGGAACACCGGUGGCGAAGGCGGCAUCCUGGACCAAUACUGACGCUGAGGAGCGAAAGCCAGGGGAGCAAACGGG